AGUCCAGUCUGAUCAGAGAAAAACAUCAAAUUGGAGAGACGGUCUACAAAAUACCUGAGAACCUUUCAAAACUGACAAGGUCUUCAAAAAGAAGGAAAAUAUGAGAAACUGUCACGUAAAAGGAGACAGAACUACUAAACAUAAUGUGGUACCCUGGAUAGGACCCUGGAACAGAAAAAGGACAGUAAAGGUGGACUCUUUCCUUCCCACAUCUCCGCUUCAUGCUUUGAUAGUCUACAGUUUGAAAAUGUGACUCCUGAAUGCCAUCAGAGGACAGGGUUAUCCUCCUCCUGCCAAACCUUUGCUUUCCUCCAUGACAAUGGAUCCUUUGGCACCCAAUUCUGCCCCCUUCCCUCUCAUCUUUGUCCUCAACUCCUUGGUUUCCCCUCCUUUCUGUCACCCAGCACUGAGCGUGUCUCCUGCUCCAAUCGGGAGCUCCAGGUACCCCACCUCUUGCUUCUCAGUGGAACUCUUGGGACUGAAAGCAGGGAAUUCUACCCCAGGAUUCUUAUCCUGGCAAUACACAAUUCCAUAAAUCAACAUGCACAAGGCGGCCAAAGUUAUCAACCUUCCAAGCAGUCUCCCCCCAAACACCACAGUCACACAGGCGCUGUUACAACCACACAGGGUGAUACACAGACACUGACAGAAAGUCUCACAUAACCCUGAUCACACGAAGGACAGAGUCACAAGCAUCCAGUGGAAGGCACAUUAUUGCAGUCACACCACCGCCUCAGAGAGGUCAUGUACACGCACACAUGGCGGUCACAAACAUCACACACACAACCCCAGUCUCAAUCUCUCACACACCCACGGCUCACUGUCCCUUCACAGAGGCUGCAUUUGCAAACCUCGGGGUGGCGAACCUCGGGGUUCAGUCUCUCUCCUACUCACUUUGGUCUCACACAUUGGUUUUCCUCUCUCUCUCACACACAGUCUCAAAGGUCUCUGUUUCUGAGACAGGUGGAUUUCUCGCGCACAUACACAAACACUGCAGUUGCUACCUCGAACACGCGCACACACAAUACACACUGGUCUCCCUCACACGC